rnacentral:rRNA from 1 species
GAUGAACGCUGGCGGCGUGCCUAAUACAUGCAAGUCGAGCGAACAGACGAGGAGCUUGCUCCUCUGACGUUAGCGGCGGACGGGUGAAUAACACGUGGAUAACCUACCUAUAAGACUGGGAUAACUUCGGGAAACCGGAGCUAAUACCGUAUAACAUGUUGAACCGCAUGGUUCAACAGUGAAAGACGGUCUUGCUGUCACUUAUAGAUGGAUCCGCGCCGCAUUAGCUAGUUGGUAAGGUAACGGCUUACCAAGGCAACGAUGCGUAGCCGACCUGAGAGGGUGAUCGGCCACACUGGAACUGAGACACGGUCCAGACUCCUACGGGAGGCAGCAGUAGGGAAUCUUCCGCAAUGGGCGAAAGCCUGACGGAGCAACGCCGCGUGAGUGAAGAAGGUCUUCGGAUCGUAAAACUCUGUUAUUAGGGAAGAACAAAUGUGUAAGUAACUAUGCACGUCUUGACGGUACCUAAUCAGAAAGCCACGGCUAACUACGUG